GCCAUCAUAGUAUAGUGGUUAGUACACCACGUUGUGGAGUGUACUUCAGUUCAUAACAAGCCCGUGGAAACCUCAGUUCGAUUCUGGGUGAUGGCA
rnacentral:tRNA from 2 species